rnacentral:rRNA from 1 species
UAGGGAAUAUUAGAAAUGGACGAAAGUCUGAUCUAGCGACACCGCGUGUGCGAUGAAGGCCUUCGGGUUGUAAAGCACUUUUUGGAAGGAAUAGGAAGGAAGGUACUUCCAGAAUAAGUCUCGGCUAACUACGUGCCAGCAGCCGCGGUAACACGUAGGAGGCAAACGUUAUCCGGAUUUACUGGGCGUAAAGCGCGUGUAGGUGGUUCUGUAAGUAGGGCGUGAAAGCUCCUGGCUCAACUGGGAGAGGCCGUUCUAAACUACAGAACUAGAGGAUGGUAGAGGGAGGUGGAAUUCCAGGUGUAGCGGUGGAAUGCGCAGAUAUCUGGAGGAACACCAGUGGCGAAGGCGGCCUCCUGGACCAUUCCUGACACUCAGACGCGAAAGCUAGGGUAGCAAACG